rnacentral:rRNA from 1 species
CCUACGGGAGGCAGCAGUGGGGGAUAUUGGACAAUGGGGGGAACCCUGAUCCAGCGACGCCGCGUGAGUGAAGAAGUAUCUCGGUAUGUAAAGCUCUAUCAGCAGGGAAGAAGAACUGACGGUACCUGAGUUAUCAGCUUCGGCUAACUACGUGCCAGCAGCCGCGGUAAUACGUAGGGGGCAAGCGUUAUCCGGAAUUACUGGGUGGAAAGGGAGCGUAGACGGUGAUGUAAGUCUGGAGUGAAAGGCGGGGGCCCAACCCCCGGACUGCUCUGGAAACUAUGUGACUGGAGUGCAGGAGAGGUGAGCGGAAUUCCAAGUGUAGCGGUGAAAUGCGUAGAUAUUAGGAGGAACACCAGUGGCGAAGGCGGCUGACUGGACUGUAACUGACGUUGAGGCUCGAAAGCGUGGGGAGCAAACAGGAUUAGAUACCCGAGUAGUC